UACGAAGGGAGCUAGCGUUGUUCGGAAUCACUGGGCGUAAAGCGCACGUAGGCGGAUUUGUCAGUCAGGGGUGAAAUCCCGGGGCUCAACCUCGGAACUGCCUUUGAUACUGGCGAUCUUGAGUCCGGGAGAGGUGAGUGGAACUGCGAGUGUAGAGGUGAAAUUCGUAGAUAUUCGCAAGAACACCAGUGGCGAAGGCGGCUCACUGGCCCGAUACUGACGCUGAGGUGCGAAAGCGUGGGAGCAACAGGG
rnacentral:rRNA from 1 species